rnacentral:rRNA from 1 species
UACGAAGGGGGCUAGCGUUGUUCGGAAUCACUGGGCGUAAAGCGCACGUAGGCGGAUCUUUAAGUCAGGGGUGAAAUCCCGAGGCUCAACCUCGGAACUGCCUUUGAUACUGGGGAUCUCGAGUCCGGGAGAGGUGAGUGGAACUGCGAGUGUAGAGGUGAAAUUCGUAGAUAUUCGCAAGAACACCAGUGGCGAAGGCGGCCAUCUGGACCGGCACUGACGCUGAGGCGCGAAAGCGUGGGGAGCAAACGGG